GAUCAUUACAGAAUGAAAAGUGCUUAACUGCAUUUUUUCUUACACAUGUGUUUUUCUUUUUUUGAAAACUUUGCUUUGGUAGGCCUUCUAUAUGGGGCCUGCCAGAGAUUAAACUCAACCAAAUUUUAUUUAAUGUCAACCGAUUAUUUAAUAGUCAAAACUUUCAACAACGGAUCUCUUGGUUCUCGCAUCGAUGAAGAACGCAGCGAAAUGCGAUAAGUAAUAUGAAUUGCAGAUAUUCGUGAAUCAUCGAAUCUUUGGACGCACAAUGCGCCCCUUGGUAUUCCNAAGGGCAUGCCUGUUUGAGCGUCAUUUCUCCCUCAAACCCUCGGGUUUGGUGUUGAGCGAUACGCUGGGUUUGCUUGAAAGAAAGGCGGAGUAUAAACUAAUGGAUAGGUUUUUUCCACUCAUUGGUACAAACUCCAAAACUUCUUCCAAAUUCGACCUCAAAUCAGGUAGGACUACCCGCU
rnacentral:sRNA from 1 species